UACGUAGGGUGCGAGCGUUAAUCGGAAUUACUGGGCGUAAAGCGUGCGCAGGCGGCGCGUUAAGACCAGGUGUGAAAGCCCCGAGCUUAACUUGGGAAUUGCGCUUGUGACUGGCGUGCUGGAGUGUGGCAGAGGGAGGUGGAAUUCCACGUGUAGCAGUGAACUGCGUAGAGAUGUGGAGGAACACCGAUGGCGAAGGCAGCCUCCUGGGCCAGCACGUGACGCUCAUGCACGA
rnacentral:rRNA from 1 species